rnacentral:misc_RNA from 1 species
UCAGCAUUAGUCUGUAUAUGCCAAUAGAUUAACUGUCCCAAACAAUAAUUUUCACGAUAUGUCUUUCGAUAUUCAUGGAUACCUUCUCCCAACUUAUCAGCAUACUUGGGACCCAAGUCAAGCGGACCAAUGUGAACUGGAGGAGAAGUAAAUUUUUUGUACUCCUGAACUCUAAAGAAGCAUCUUGUAUGAGCAUAUACAUGGAUUAAGUCAGCUGCAGCAUCAUGCCGGCACUUG